rnacentral:rRNA from 1 species
CCUUGACAUGCUGAGAACUUUCCAGAGAUGGAUUGGUGCCUUCGGGAACUCAGACACAGGUGCUGCAUGGCUGUCGUCAGCUUGUGUCGUGAGAUGUUGGGUUAAGUCCCGUAACGAGCGCAACCCUUGUCCUUAGUUACCAGCACGUUAUGGUGGGCACUCUAAGGAGACUGCCGGUGACAAACCGGAGGAAGGUGGGGAUGACGUCAAGUCAUCAUGGCCCUUACGGCCAGGGCUACACACGUGCUACAAUGGUCGGUACAAAGGGUUGCCAAGCCGCGAGGUGGAGCUAAUCCCAUAAAACCGAUCGUAGUCCGGAUCGCAGUCUGCAACUCGACUGCGUGAAGUCGGAAUCGCUAGUAAUCGUGAAUCAGAACGUCACGGUGAAUACGUUCCCGGGCCUUGUACACACCGCCCGUCACACCAUGGGAGUGGGUUGCUCCAGAAGUAGCUAGUCUAACCCUCGGGAGGACGGUUACCACGGAGUGAUUCAUGACUGGGGUGAAGUCGUAACAAGGUAGGCGUAGUGCU